UUUAAAGUCUAACCUGCCCAAUGAGGAUUUGAAUGGCCGCGGUAUUUUGACCGUGCAAAGGUAGCAUAAUCAUUAGUUUUUUAAUUGAAAGCUGGUAUGAACGGUUGGACGAGAAAAUAGCUGUCUCAGUUUAAUUGAAUUAGAAUUUUAUUUAUAAGUAAAAAAGCUUAUAUAAGUUUAAAAGACGAGAAGACCCUAUAGAGUUUUAUAUUUAUUUAUAUGUAUUAUUUUUAGUAUAUUUGGGUUGUAUAUAUAAGUAAGUAUUUUAUUGGGGCGAUAGAAAAAUUGAUUUAACUUUUUAUAUAUUAGUACAUUGAUUUAUGAGUAAAUGAUCCAAUUAUUUUGAUUACAAGAUUAAAUUACCUUAGGGAUAACAGCGUAAUUUUUUUUUAGAGUUCUUAUCGAAAAAAGAGUUUGCGACCUCGAUGUUGGAUUAAAAUUAACUUUUGGUGCAGGAGCUAAAAGGUUAGGUCUGUUCGACCUUUAAAAUUUUACAUGAUCUGAGUUUAAACCGGCGUGAGCCAGGUUGGUUUCUAUCUUUAAAUAAAGUAAGUAUUUUAGUACGAAAGGAUUAGAUACUUAUAAUAAUUAUUAUAUAUUGAAUAUUAAUA
rnacentral:rRNA from 2 species